UAAAUUAAUAAAUUAAUUUAACUGUUACAUCAUAGAAAAUAGUAAUCUAAAGUUUAGGUAGUCCUGCAUCAGAAAAGGUUUGACCAAUUGGAAAGAUUGCUAACCAGUUUGUAAACAUGUUAGCUGUAUGCAGUCUUGCUCAGGGUUAUGGUAUGGCUGGCUAACCAGUAAGUGGUUUGGAUUGCCCAUCUCCAAGCUGUUUUUGCUGUUACAUUAAGGUUGGCAGAAGGAGUUUUUGAGCAAAACAAUUUUUUUUUUCAGUCUGUGGUGACAGUGAAGGGUUUGGUCAGACAUUGACCAUUGUUUCGAUGAUUGUAUUAGGAUUUGUUUCUGUAGGUUGAAAAGGUACAAUGUUAUGUGCAUCUUGCAUUUAUUUUACAUAAUAUAUGUUCUUGAUGUUCUUGAUGUUCUUGAUGGUUGAUAUGAUUUAUGUAGGUAAGUUUUUUUUAAUGGUCGGAUGGUGGCUAGGAUUUUUCGUUUCCUGUAACUUUGCUCUUUUUACCGUUACGUAACAGUAUUUUUCUUGAACGUGUAGAAACAUUUUCUGAUGUUUCUGAUGUGUUAAGCUGCAAUUCUUUUCUUUGAUCUUAAAGUUGGAAUAUCUAAUGGAAAAUUUGGAAUCCUGCUGUUUUAUUCUGUGGAUCGGAUUUGCACUUCGCUGCAAUAGGUGGUUCGUUAUCUGCCAGUAGAUGUCCAAUUGUGAAUAUAUUGCUGCUGCAGUAACGACGCAUUUUCUGGUAGUAAUGUGGUAGCGACCUAUGUUGAUGAGGUCUCUUAAACUUGUCAAAAAUACACACGAAACGACAAGUGGGAGAUGCUAAGAUUGAAUUUCAAUUUGUUGUAAAUUUUCGUUCUGUUCCGUUUUCAGUACAGUGUUCACGCUUAUCUUAGUACGAUUUUAGGAAUGAAAUAACGGGAAAUAAAACUGUCAAGGUUAUUUUAACAAAACGGUUUGGUGAUAUGAUUGCUGGCAGUUGGAAGAAAACGUCUGAAAAUUUCUCUAGACUUAAUUAUUCUCACAUGUUUUCAAAAUAGAAUUUCUAUUUGGGCUUUGUUUCAUGGGGUCAUGUUUCCCCAUGACUUGUGAUAAACUCGUGUGAAUUCUGCUGAUACUUUGGCUAUAACGUUUUUUGUAUUUAUGUGAUAAAUUAUCAAUAAAACGCAUUUUGAAUAAUA
rnacentral:lncRNA from 1 species